rnacentral:lncRNA from 1 species
UUCUCCCCGCCACCCCUCACACCACAGCCACACCGCCCGCGCCCGCCCGGGGGUGGUAUCUCCUCUCCUACGCCCUAACUGAACCAUCCCUUCCACCUCCGCCUAUCCUACAUACGCAGCGCCUAUUAUACGUACAACGCUAGCCGUGUUCAGUUAAUUACCGGCCGGAGCGCCUGGUGAAGGUUAGUUACCAUCACUAGAUUACAGCAAAUUAUACUAGUAGAACCAUCCCAUCCAUCAGACUAUUCCCUUUUUUGUUGGUAAUGGAAAUAGCCCAUGCUUUGGUUUGACGACAUUCAUGGAACAGUUAAUCAAACUUAGACUAACUGACUAGCCACUAGGUUAGGUUAAUUACCAUCACUAGCUAGAUUUACUAUGUGACAUUGGCCGACGCAAAAGGUUGAACGAGGGAGUACAGUAAGUGUGGCACAGUGGCGUCAUGGAUCGGCGGUGAAACCGGUCGGUAGAUCCGACAGCUUAGAGUAAACGGGAAUGAAGGGCGCACAUGACGCAAUUCAUUUAGAAUUUGAAAGCGGGGUGAUUUAUCUAGUGCUGGCGUCCCUAAUCUAAUGAAAAACGCUAAAGUACGCGUGAUCGGCCAGCUCGAUUAGCAAAGGAGGCCCGGACCUCCACAUCUUCACAUGGCUUUAAGGAAUAUGAGCAGGCAAAAGGGGGAAUUUAACCCACCCUGGACCCAGCAGAUCAGAUCGUGUGUAAUCGUUGAUCGUAAUGAUGCCAGAGACAAAACCCGCCUACGUACUCAUCAGACCAAUGAUUACGGUCUAAAUUACAUGUGUUCUAUUCUAGUAUGGUAAUAUUCAACUGGAACUGUUCGUCGCAUUUCCUGGCUUUCCGAAGAAUAAUCCAUCUUCCUUUGCCUUUAGAGUAUAUAUGUCUUAAAUCAAAGUCGAGGCAUAAUUCGAUAAACGAACCCGAGUCACCCUCCUAAGGCCCUGUUUGGAUCACCGUUUUCCUUCUAAAUACCCUUGUAAAAAAUACAUGUUCCAUUUCCAGACGGAAUUUGUUCAGCGGGCAGUAAGAUACAUGUGUAAAUUAUAACUUAUACACCUCUGUAUUAAAUUACAUCGAUUCCAAGCACGAUCUAAACUCUAAAGUUCAGAGAGACAGCUAUGUGACAGGCCACUAGUUGGGAUAACAAAGAUAAAUUAAAUUAACGAUCGGCAAUAGAUUAGCCGGGGUAGGAAUAAUCCUUACAACUUUGGGGGUGGUAUUGGGAUCAGACCUUGAGUGCCCGCAUUGCCAUACAUCCGUGGAGAUAUGGGUGGCCUCUGCGAGCUGCAAGCAAAGUAUACCACUUCAACCCGGGUACACAAAAAAAUAACUGCAUGCGAUUAAGAUAUGCCGAGACAUAUUCCGUUCAAAAGCGCCUCACGAAAAGUUGUUUAAUCACAAAGGGUUGCAGAGCUCAAUGGCAGUGUCGGUUCUGAUUAGAGGAGAAGAGGAAUCACGCAGAGGAAGAAGAAAAGAAGGCCUCAACAGUGUAGCCGAAAGGGUAGGCCACCCCCAACUUUCGAACCCCAAAAGGAGGCUGUUGUGCGCAAGUAUCUCGGGGCUUCCUCGAGAAUCGAUCUGCCGCUGCCCAAACAGGCCGGGAGGGAUGUCUGAACACCAGAUGAUGAAGCAAUACGAUACGAAUAAUGUAGUAGAUGACAGGGAAAUGCACGUAUGCUUUAUCUGUUUGCGGUGUAGACGGAGAAAGCUGAUCAACUUAUAUAUGGGAAAUGAAGUUUAUAUAUGUGUUCCUCCUGUAGCAGUCCGAAAACUCCGUGUUCCGUUCCCACCGGUGUCAUUUGCUUGACUGUGAUGAUUAAAAUCCAUAGGGGUAUAGGACCAUAUAUAAGUACCCCGUAAAGUAAAGCAGUCUAGGGCUUUAGGCAACUUGCAAACAUUUUGCUUAUGUCAGGUUCAGUCACUAUCUGAAGCUUUUACGGGUUUACUACUCUCUGAUUCGUCGGCCCUAGGCAAGUCUAGAUAUAAAUUCUGUUUAGCAUGAAAUGCUAUAUUCCAGAACAGUAAUAAUCAGUUAGAGAACUUUCUUGGAAACAGGGUACUAACGGUAAGAAUCAAAGCUCCAAAGGUGAGGUUCACUUGUAAUAAUAAAUAUGUAUGGUUAGCUAACGGAAGAUGUGUCAGAUUUACUCUAUAAAAUGGCAUUGCAGACACUGUUGCGUACAUGUAAACAUACUGCAUAUUCUUCAAAGAAAUUUUACAGACACAGAAAAAAGUAAGGAUUCAUGGUCUGGUCAUCAGAUUUGACUUACCAGUCCUGACAAAGUACUGAACUCAGCACCUGAUGACCGAUACUUCAUAGUCUUUGUGAUAAGGCUCGAGCCAAUCAACUGCAGGUUUGUGUUCACUAGAAAAAAGAUAACAACAAAGGGUGUGCUGCUGAGAUAAGAAUUCAGAGACUACGUUUGUGAGCGGGUAUAAAAACCCGUACUACCAUGCUAGCGUCUUCAACAACUUCAUAGCACUAUAGCAGCAACAAACAUAGAUCAUUAGUUAUAACUAGAAUUAGCUUUUAGAUCUGCUACUGCUUACUGGGAAACACAUGUUUUAAUGAUAACAGAACAUGUGACUACCUUAUGCUCUUUGGAUUUUAAGCCUAGAUCCUAGUAAAUAUAUAUUUCAUCGC